UACGUAGGGUGCGAGCGUUGUCCGGAAUUACUGGGCGUAAAGAGUUCGUAGGCGGUUUGUCGCGUCGUUCGUGAAAACUUGGGGCUUAACUCCAAGCGUGCGGGCGAUACGGGCAGACUUGAGUACUACAGGGGGAGACUGGAAUUCCUGGUGUAGCGGUGAAAAUGCGUAGAGAUCGGGAGGAACACCAGUGGCGAAGGCGGCUACCCUGGACCAGCACUGACACUGAGGCACGAAAAGCGUGGGGGAGCAAAACAGG
rnacentral:rRNA from 1 species